GUUGAACUGUGAUCGGAGGUCCUCAAGGGUCAUCAUGGGCUCUGAGGGGUUCUGAUGGUGGCUCACCAGGUCAAGUCGCGCCAGACUCUCACUGCUCUCGCUCCUCGUUAUCCAGUUGCUGCCGAGACAAGGACACGUUAGCAAAGAGAUCCACACCCACAUACACUCCCACACCAACACUUACCUGGAUGAGAAGUAGUUGUCAGAGGUGUUGUGGAUCAUCCCGCAAGACAUGGCUGGCUGAAGGUGAUUUGACGUUGGCAGAGGAGAGUGUAACACGCUAGACCCUGGGGAGGAAGGCGAGAGAGGAGUUAGUCUGGGCGUUCGGCAAGACUGACUGACUGGAGCUAUCUAAGCUUGCUUGACCUCGAAACAGCAGGCAGCAGAAGUACAGCAGGAAGGGGGUGAGAAGGAAGGAGGAAGAAGGAAAGAAGGAAUGAAGGAAGGAAGGGACGGUAAGUGGAAUCGUAUCAUCUUUCUCUUUUCACGAUUUCUUUCUGAUGUUAUUUUCUUAUUUUCAUUCUUAUUUUCAUUCUCAUUUUCUUUAUUUUCUUUCUUCUUCCCUCCUCCCUCUCUCUUCCCUCCCCUUCCUUCUCUUUCUUAUUCCCUCCCUCCUCCCUUCCUUCUCUCUCCCCUUCCCUCCCUUUCCCCUUCCUCUCUUUUCCAUCUUCUUCCUUCCCUCCUCCCUCUCUUGA